rnacentral:rRNA from 1 species
UUACACAUGCAAGUCGAACGGCAGCGCGGGGCAACCUGGCGGCGAGUGGCGAACGGGUGAGUAAUAUAUCGGAACGUGCCCUGGAGUGGGGGAUAACGCAGCGAAAGUUGCGCUAAUACCGCAUACGAUCUAAGGAUGAAAGCGGGGGAUUCGCAAGAACCUCGUGCUCCUGGAGCGGCCGAUAUCUGAUUAGCUAGUUGGUGGGGUAAAGGCCUACCAAGGCAUCGAUCAGUAGCUGGUCUGAGAGGACGACCAGCCACACUGGAACUGAGACACGGUCCAGACUCCUACGGGAGGCAGCAGUGGGGAAUUUUGGACAAUGGGCGCAAGCCUGAUCCAGCAAUGCCGCGUGAGUGAAGAAGGCCUUCGGGUUGUAAAGCUCUUUUGUCAGGGAAGAAACGGUGCGGGCUAAUAUCCUGCACUAAUGACGGUACCUGAAGAGUAAGCACCGGCUAACUACGUGCCAGCAGCCGCGGUAAUACGUAGGGUGCAAGCGUUAAUCGGAAUUACUGGGCGUAAAGCGUGCGCAGGCGGUUUUGUAAGUUUGUCGUGAAAUCCCCGGGCUCAACCUGGGAAUUGCGAUGAAGACUGCAAGGCUAGAAUCUGGCAGAGGGGGGUAGAAUUCCACGUGUAGCAGUGAAAUGCGUAGAGAUGUGGAGGAACACCGAUGGCGAAGGCAGCCCCCUGGGUCAAGAUUGACGCUCAUGCACGAAAGCGUGGGGAGCAAACAGGAUUAGAUACCCUGGUAGUCCACGCCCUAAACGAUGUCUACUA